rnacentral:tRNA from 1 species
GCGGGUUUAGCUCAGUUGGGAGAGCGUCAGACUGAAGUCAAACUUCACCAGUUCCAUCUGAAGGUCGUGUGUUCGAUCCACACAAACCACA